rnacentral:lncRNA from 10 species
AAAAAGACAUUUAUUCAGUGUCACGAUCAGACUAUUACAUUUAGCAAUCAACAGCUUGGGUGCAAAAAAAAAAAAUACAUUAAAACCCUUUGUUGGAAUGCUUUACACUUUCCACAGAACAGAAACUAAAACAACCUGUUAUACAACUAGUCACAAAUACAGUCUUCGAGUUUUUUGCCCAUACACAUGAGUAUUUGUCUAAAACAUAUCUUCUUUGUAGCAGCUAGGCCCUGCCACCACUGUGCUUGGCUUAGUUCACAAAUCUGUUGUAACCUGUAGCUUCCCUGUCACUUCGCUGGCUCUCCUCUCAUGCUAAGCUUUGUUGCCUAAUUAAAAUCUUCCGCCACUGCCAUAGCUACUGCUGCUACUGGAACCGCCAUAGCCACCUUGGUUUCGUGGUUUGGUAAAGUAUUGGCCUGCACCACCAUAGGGGCCAGAGCUUCUGCCUCCAAAGUUUCCUCCCUUCAUGGGUCCAAAAAUUGAAGACUAAUUGUUGUAAUUGCCAAAAUCAUUGUAGCUUCCACCUCCAAAAUUGCUUCCAUCAUUACCAAAUCCAUUAUAGCCAUCCCCACUGCACGAUAUCCACCACCACCACAGCUGCCACCAAAGCCACCAUGACCACUGAAAUUUCCUUCACAACCAAAGUUGUCAUUCCUACCGAAACCACCUCCACGACCACCACCAAAGUUUCCAGAAGUACUUUGACCUCUUUGGCUGGAUGAAGCACUCACCAUCUCUUGCUUUGACAGGCCUUUCCUAAUUUCACAGUUGUGGCCAUUCACAGUAUGGUAUUUCUGAAUGACAGUCUUAUCCACGGAGUCAUGAUCAUCAAAGGUUACAAAGGCAAAGCCCCUUUUCUUGCCACUGCCUUGGUCAGUCAUGAUUUCAAUCACUUCAGUUUUUCCAUACUGUUCAAAAUAAUCACUUAGGUGAUAUUCUUCAGUGUCUUCGUUAAUGCCACCAACAAAUAUCUUUUCCAUAGUUAAGUGGGCAUCUGGUCUUUGAGAAUCUUCUCUUGAGACAGCUCUCUUUGGUUCCACAACUCUUCCAUCCACCUUGUGUGGCCUUGCAUUCGUGGCUGCAUCCACCUCCUCCUCAGUGGCAUAUGUGGCAAAUCCAAAGCCCCUGGAGUGCUUGGUGUUUGGAUCUCUCAUUACCACACAGUCCGCGAGUGUUCCCCAUUGCUCAGAAUGGCUCCUCAGGCUCUCAUUGGUUGUUUCAAAGCUCAGCCCUCCAAUGAAGAGCUUCUUCAGCUGUACGAGCUCUUUAGGAGACUCUGACUUAGACUUGGCGGUGUCCAUGGGUGGAAAGUGUUUGUUUUGUUUUAUUUUUGAGACAGAGUCUCUAUCUGUCACCCAGGCUGGAGUGCAGUGGCGCGAUCUCGGCUCACUGCAGUCUCCGCCUCCCGGGUUCAAGCGAUCCGCCCGUCUCAGCGUUCCGAGUCGCCGGGAUUACAGGUCCCAAAUGGACUUAUAUGCCUCCUGAUGUACUUCCUUCCACACGAUUCCAACUAUAUCGUAUCUAGUUUUUAAAAGUCAGGGGGCGGCCGGGCGCGGUGGCUCACGCCUGUAAUCCCAGCACUUUGGGAGGCCGACGCGGGUGGAUCACCUGAGGUCAGGAGUUCG